rnacentral:rRNA from 1 species
GUGCUGGAAGGUUAAAAGGAUGGGUUAGCUUCGGCGAAGCUCAGAAUUGAAGCCCCAGUAAACGGCGGCCGUAACUAUAACGGUCCUAAGGUAGCGAAAUUCCUUGUCGGGUAAGUUCCGACCCGCACGAAAGGCGUAACGAUCUGGGCACUGUCUCAACGAGAGACUCGGUGAAAUUAUAUUUUCCGUGAAGAUGCGGACUACCCGCGACAGGACGGAAAGACCCCAUGGAGCUUUACUGUAGCUUGAUAUUGAGUGUUGGUACCGCUUGUACAGGAUAGGUAGGAGCCGUAGAGAUCGGAACGCUAGUUUCGAUGGAGGCAUUGGUGGGAUACUACCCUAGCUGUAUGAACAC